rnacentral:rRNA from 1 species
CCCUACUGCUAUCGGGGUGGGACUAAGACAUGCGAGUUGUGCGUCUCUAAGCUAUGGUAGAGACGCAGCGUACGGCUCAGUAACACGUGGCUAACCUACCCUUAGGACGGGGACAACCCCGGGAAACUGGGGCUAAUACCCGAUAGGUAAGGAAUCCUGGAAUGGAUCUUUGCUGAAAGGGCGUCUAGACCAUGCUUCUUGACGUCGCCCAAGGAUGGAGCCGCGACCGAUCAGGUAGUUGGCGAGGCAACGGCUCACCAAGCCUAUAACCGGUACGGGCCGUGAGAGCGGGAGCCCGGAGAUGGGCACUGAGACAAGGGCCCAGGCCCUACGGGGCGCAGCAGUUGCGAAAACUCCGCAAUGCGCGAAAGCGUGACGGGGCUACCCCGAGUGCCGCCCGUUGAGGGCGGCUUUUCCGCGGUGUAAGGAGCCGUGGGAAUAAGGAGAGGGCAAGACUGGUGUCAGCCGCCGCGGUAAUACCAGCUCUCCGAGUGGUGGGGACGAUUAUUGGGCUUAAAGCGUUCGUAGCCGGCUUAACAAGUCUUCCGUUAAAUCCAACGAUCUAAUCGUUGGGCUGCGGGAGAUACUGUUGGGCUAGGAGGCGGGAGAAGCCGACGGUAUUCUCGGGGUAGGGGUGAAAUCCUGUAAUCCCGGGAGGACCACCAGUGGCGAAGGCGGUCGGCUAGAACGCGCUCGACGGUGAGGGACGAAAGCUGGGGGAGCGAACCGGAUUAGAAACCCGGGUAGUCCCAGCUGUAAACGAUGCGGGCUAGGUGUUGGGGUGGCCACGAGCCACUUCAGUGCCGCAUGGAAGCAAUUAAGCCCGCCGCCUGGGGAGUACGGCCGCAAGGCUGAAACUUAAAGGAAUUGGCGGGGGAGCACCACAAGGCGUGAAGCUUGCGGUUU